UACGUAGGAGACGAGCGUUGUCCGGAGUUACUGGGCGUAAAGGGUGCGCAGGUGGCUGUGCGCGUGGGGAGUGAAAUCGCCCGGCUUAACUGGGCGGGGGCUUUCCAGACGGCGCGGCUUGAGCAGCGGAGGGGGGCGUGGAAUUCCGGGUGGAGCGGUGAAAUUCGUAGAUAUUCGGAAGAACACCAGUGGCGAAGGCGACUUACUGGACACAUAUUGACGCUGAGGUGCGAAAGCGUGGGGAGCAAACAGG
rnacentral:rRNA from 1 species